rnacentral:rRNA from 1 species
CGCUUAGAAGGAAACGGAUGGAGCUGCCAUGCAGUCCGUAGGAUUCAGCUCGUCGGUUUAAGGCCUCGGCCUUUUUCGGCGGGUGCACUUUCUACGGACGCGCGCUACGACCGUUUGCUAGCCUGGCGCCAGACCCGUCGGUUGCCGGCCUGGAUACGUUCAGGUCUCCCGCCUUCGUUGUCUGCCCGAGUGCUUUGGCGAACGAGAGCCUGCCGUGCAUGCUGUCGCAGUCCCGGUCGUUUGGUUUUCGGAUUGAAACUUCGAGUGUCUGCUUGCAGGCCUUGGAAACCCUCCGUUACCUGCGGUCCGGUUGAUUGCCACUGCACUAAUGGUCUGUGGCGUCCGCGUCAGCCACCCAUCCGACCCGUCUUGAAACACGGACCAAGGAGUCUAACAUGUGCGCAAGUCAUUGACUUGUAAGGUCAAAGGCGCAAUGAAAGUAAACGGCUUGCUUGUCGAGCCGGAGGAGAGAUCCCUUCAGGGCGCAUCUCCGUCUCGUCCAUUCUGCUUGUCAGAUGGGCGACGAAAGAGCGUACACGUUGGGACCCGAAAGAUGGUGAACUAUGCCUGAGCAGGAUGAAGUCAGAGGAAACUCUGAUGGAGGUCCGUAGCGGUUCUGACGUGCAAAUCG